rnacentral:misc_RNA from 1 species
AUAAUAUCCACACCACGUCACCUCUUUCUGGUUUCUAAAUAGAUAAAGAACCAUUUCACCACACUAAGGAUUUUUGUCCAUCUCCUCUGAGCCUUGUUAAUGACAGAACAGACUUGUGAAGCUUGAAUCAUGGAAUCUGUGUCAAUGAAGGGCUCGACAAGGCCUGGAUUGCUUCAUAUCUUCCUAUGUAGUCCUAAAUAAAUGGAGGUGCAUAUCACGAUAAUGGUCUUUCUCCACCUCCUCCUGGCGUUGACAAGGCAUGGUCUUGAUCUUCCCCUGUAAUCCUUCGGCUUGCCAUCUAA